rnacentral:lncRNA from 1 species
UGGAUAAUAAUGUAAUACUCAUUGGAAUCCAAAAAUACCCUGAAACCAUUAAGAUUACUAAGAUGAGCAAAAAAAGAAUACACAUCGAUUUGGUGAACUUACAGAGAAAGAAACGAAAGACCACUUGAAAAUUAAUUAGAUGGAAGUGUACAAAUUAUAAUACUUUCUUGAAAGAAAAAGUAAUCAAUUUCUUAACACAAAUUCAAGCCUAUAAAUUUUGUUUGGGUACACGUUAUUGUUCCCUUUUGAUUGUUGGAAUUGUUUGCUUUCGUAGAAUUCUGGCCCCAUUUUCUCUCCUGAUUUUUGUCUAAAUUCAUUUCGUGAUGCUGGCAACCAUAUCUAAUGCCACACAUGGUUGAUCAACUGGAACCUGCUUCCACAUAAAUAAAUAAAAAUUAUUUGUACAUUUUUCUGUUAUGCUAUGGACCUAAUACAAUUAAGUGCCUGCAAUUUGAGAAUAUAUAAAUUUAUGGAAAACUUUUUUUAAGAGAUGCAAGCAACUUGCCUAACAGUUAAUGAAGUGAGGUAAAAAUUAUAAAAAUAUUUUAAUUUACUUGGUGAACAGAGCUACUCGAGAAAAGGUAACAGGGAGCAACAAAACUAGCUUCUAUUCUAUGUAAAUUCCUUAAAAAGAAAAACAAAGACUGUUACAAUAUUUGCCUCUCCAAUUUAUUCUUAUUUUUAAUGUUAAAUAAGCAUAAUACUAAGGGAUGAAAAUGGCAUCUUCCCUUUUCUUUUCUCCUCUUCGUUAAUUUCUAAGUAAUGAUAAUUCUCCAAUAUCAGACGUUUGACCAAUCUAGAUUAUGGUGCUCAAGCAAGAUGAAAAGAAGAGAGACAAAUGCAUUAGGAAAAAAAGAAAAGAAAUAAAGUAAACUUAGUUUGAAUUGUGCGACUAUUCAGAAUAAAAAUAUUUGAAUAAUUUUAGUAGGAAAAAAAAUAAUGGUUUGAAAUAUGAAAAUAAAUAAAUAGAUAUAGUUAUUUAAGAUGUCAAGAAACGACGAUGUUGAAAAAUCCUAUUGCUCUUUAGCCCGUAAGGCUUAUGGCCUGUUUGGCCAAGCAGGAAAUCAACUUAUUUUGAAAAGUAUUUUUGAAAAAGUUUUUCUGGAGAGAAGCGGUUUGUGUUUGGCUAAUCACUUUGAAAAAAUAAUUUUUACCAAUAAUUUGUGUUUGGCCAAGCUUUCAGAAAGUUAAGUAUCAAAUUACGAAUAAGGACAUGAAUAGAUUUACUGAAUAGUUAAUGUUAUAUAAGUAUUUAAAUAAUCUCAAAAUUUUAUUAUUACAGACGAUAAUUAAAUCUUUUUAUUUUUUUAAAUAAAAUUAAAAAGUACUUAAUUUUUUUUUACUUGAAAGGAAAAAAAAAGAGAAAAGAGAAUCUUUUCCCUGAUUUAAUGUUUGGAUAUGUCGGACAAGAGGGGUUGCUCUGAUGGUAAGCAACAUCCACUUCCAACCAAGAGGUUGUGAGUUCGAGUCUCCCCAAGAGCAAGGUGAGAGGUUCUUGGAGGGAAGGAUGUUGGGUUUCUAUUUGGAAACAGCCUCUCUACCCUAGGGUAGGGGUAAGGACUGCGUACAAACUACCCUCCCCAGACCCCACUUAGUGUGACAAGAGGGGUUGCUCUGAUGGUAAGUAACCCCCACUUCCAACCGAGAGGUUGUGAAGAGGUUCUUGGAGGGAAGGAUGCUGGGGGUCUAUUUGGAAACAACCUCUCUACCCCAGGGUAGGGGUAAGGUUUGCGUACAUACUACUCUCCCCGGACCACACUAAGUGGGAUUAUAUUGGGUUGUUGUUGUUGUAAAUAUAUUAAAAAUCACUCAACAAAUAUAAAAGCAUUGACCUUUAAAGUCACUAUAUAUUAAAAAGCUAUUCUAAAUAUAAGAAGAAAUACUUAUACAUUAAUAUCCUAAGUAUUAGAUUUAGUGGCUAUUUUGGUAUAUAUAUAUAUUGUUAAUGGUAUUUUUGGUAAGAAGAAAAGUAAAAACUGCUUCUACUUCCGGGAAGAAGUUACUUUUUUCUUCUGUAUCUUUUUAAAAGUUUUUUUUUUCCAACUAAAACUUGGCCAAACAUGUUAUUAGUUCAAGUGACACAGGUUGAAAAAUCGAGCCAUAUAUGUGAAUCAGAGGCAUAACAUGUGUGCACCAUUAUGUUAAUCAAAGAGAGCAUGAGAAAUUAAGAUUUUAUUUAUUAAUUAUAAAGAAAUUAAUUAAAAAUAAUUAGUAUAUGGGGAUCAAACUCCAGACAUGAGAAACAAAAGGCGCACUUAUUAACAUGUGCACCAGAGCAGUCACUUGAGUAUGAUGAACACAAAUAUAUUUAGAUACAUAAUUUAAGAAAUUAAUAUCAUUUUUACAUAACUUAGGAAGAAGAGCAUAAAUUAUGUACCCCACAUCUUCACGUAAAUCUGCCCCUUACAUGAACUAAGUCUAAUAUUUAAGUGAAAAAGGAUAGAAGACGAAUUAAUCAAAUUUUCAAAGUUAUCCUAAGGGUUGGCCCGUAAACAGAUUUUUUUUUCAUGAAAAAGGAAAAAAACGAGUCGGGAAUAGAGCAGUGGCUUAUUCAAUGUUAUACCACAAUUUAUUUUCAGACAUAAUUGUUCACGAAAUGUGGCAUGAGACAUCUUAUGAUAUAAGGAGUGCACGAAACUUCAUAAAGAAUAAAUAGAAUUCACUCUAUACCCAUAAUAUCCUAUUUUCACUCAUGAGAUUCACUCUCAGAUUUCUCAGCAUCACGGGUAAACCAUACUAAUUUCUGACACGCCAGUGCUUUAAUUUUGGUGUCAGAAAAUCUUAUUAAUUCCCUGCACUAAGUCAUGAGUAAUUUACACUCUUUCUAGUUAUGAUAACAUUAUUAAUUUGAACUCCCACCCCAAGUAUUUAGCAAUUAGUUUAGUAGGGUUCUGUAAGAAUAGUGCUGAACAAAGUAUAUUAGUAAUAUGGAGAUUUAUAAUGUUAGAAUCAGUUAUGUUGAGAUUAUUUUUUAUCGAAUAUUUGGUUUGGUGUAGGGGUGUACAUAGACCGGGUUGAUUCGGAUUUUAAAAUUAUCAAAUCAAACGAAUUAUGUCGGGUUAUUAAAUCUAAAGACCAAACCAAACCAAUAAAACUCGGGUUUUUCAAUAUCGAUUUUUCUCGGGUGUCCUCGGGUUUUCGGGUUAUUCGGGAUUUUUCGGAUUAUUUUCCGGUAAAAUCUUCGUAGAACAAAACAUAUAACGUACGCUCAAACUAUUUCUGUAAUCGUAGUAAUAUACAACUAUAUAAGUAUUUUUCAAGAAAAUAAUACAAAAUAUGAGAUGUGCCAUGACAUUAUCCUAAAAUAUUCAACAAUAAAAUUAUGUAAUAUAAAUAUUGCUACAUUAAAAAGUCAUAGUAAAAAUAAACAUAAUCUAAAAGCACUAAGUCAUGCUAAAAUAAGUAGACUAAUAAAGAAGUAUUAAUUAUAUGACUAAAAGCUAAAGCAAAAUAAAAUAGGUUAUGCAUUUUUAUAUAAAUCAUUGCAAAAUAAAAAUAGAUAUCCAAUACUUUCCUGUUCGUAAUAUUUAAUUGAAUGUCUUUUGUUAGCAUUAGUAUUGAUUGUUAACAUUAUUUAAUUUUUACUAAUAUUAAUGGCUAUAAAACUUAUUGGAGCCUUCAAAAGUUCUAAGUUCAACCUUGUAAUAAUACCUUAAAAGAUAAAAUAAUAAAAUAUUUUAAGAAAUAUUUAUAAAUUACAUUACAAUAAGUAUAUUAUAUAUUAAAUAUAUCUAAAAUUUCUAUAUGUAAUGUCGGGUUGGUUUGGUUUCGGUUUGACUUUAUUUAGUUA